AUACGUAGGUGACAAGCGUUAUCCGGAUUUACUGGGCGUAAAGGGCGUGUAGGCGGUCUUGCAAGUCAGAAGUGAAAUUCCUGAGCUCAACUCGGGCGCUGCUUCUGAAACUGCAGGACUUGAGUGCUGGAGGGGAUAGCGGAAUUCCUAGUGGAGCGGUAAAAUGCGCAGAUAUUAGGAAGAACAACGGUGGCGAAGGCGGCUAUCUGGACAGUAACUGACUCUGAGGCGCGAAAGCGGAGGGAGCAAACAGGAUUAGAUACCCUGGUAGCCCACGCUGUAAACGAUGAAUACUAGGUGUAGUGGGUAUCGACUCCCUCUGUGCCGCAGUUAACACAAUAAGUAUUCCGCCUGGGGAGUACGGCCGCAAGGUUGAAACUCAAAUGAAUUGUCGGGG
rnacentral:rRNA from 1 species